rnacentral:rRNA from 1 species
AAGUCGAGCGGUAACAUUUCUAGCUUGCUAGAAGAUGACGAGCGGCGGACGGGUGAGUAAUGCUUGGGAACAUGCCUUGAGGUGGGGGACAACCAUUGGAAACGAUGGCUAAUACCGCAUGAUGUCUACGGACCAAAGGGGGCUUCGGCUCUCGCCUUUAGAUUGGCCCAAGUGGGAUUAGCUAGUUGGUGAGGUAAUGGCUCACCAAGGCGACGAUCCCUAGCUGGUUUGAGAGGAUGAUCAGCCACACUGGAACUGAGACACGGUCCAGACUCCUACGGGAGGCAGCAGUGGGGAAUAUUGCACAAUGGGCGCAAGCCUGAUGCAGCCAUGCCGCGUGUGUGAAGAAGGCCUUCGGGUUGUAAAGCACUUUCAGUCAGGAGGAAAGGUUAGUAGUUAAUACCUGCUAGCUGUGACGUUACUGACAGAAGAAGCACCGGCUAACUCCGUGCCAGCAGCCGCGGUAAUACGGAGGGUGCGAGCGUUAAUCGGAAUUACUGGGCG